GCAUGUCUAGUAUAAGCAAUUAUACGGCGAAACUGCGAAUGGCUCAUUAUAUAAGUUAUCGUUUAUUUGAUAGUACCUUACUACUUGGAUAACCGUGGUAAUUCUAGAGCUAAUACAUGCUGAAAAUCCCGACUUCGGAAGGGAUGUAUUUAUUAGAUUAAAAACCAAUGCCCUCCUGGGCUCUCUGGUGAUUCAUGAUAACUUCUCGAAUCGCACGGCCUCGCGCCGGCGAUGGUUCAUUCAAAUUUCUUCCCUAUCAACUUUCGAUGUUUGGGUAGUGGCCAAACAUGGUUGCAACGGGUAACGGAGGGUUAGGGCUCGACCCCGGAGAAGGAGCCUGAGAAACGGCUACUACAUCCAAGGAAGGCAGCAGGCGCGCAAAUUACCCAAUCCCGACACGGGGAGGUAGUGACAAUAAAUACUGAUACAGGGCUCUUUCGGGUCUUGUAAUUGGAAUGAGUACAAUUUAAAUCCCUUAACGAGGAACAAUUGGAGGGCAAGUCUGGUGCCAGCAGCCGCGGUAAUUCCAGCUCCAAUAGCGUAUAUUAAAGUUGUUGUGGUUAAAAAGCUCGUAGUUGAACCUUGGGCCUGGCUGGCCGGUCCGCCUCACCGCGUGUACUGGUCCGGCCGGGCCUUUCCCUCUGUGGAACCCCAUGCCCUUCACUGGGCGUGGCGGGGAAACAGGACGUUUACUUUGAAAAAAUUAGAGUGCUCCAGGCAGGCCUAUGCUCGAAUACAUUAGCAUGGAAUAAUGAAAUAGGACGCGCGGUUCUAUUUUGUUGGUUUCUAGGACCGCCGUAAUGAUUAAUAGGGACAGUCGGGGGCAUCAGUAUUCAAUUGUCAGAGGUGAAAUUCUUGGAUUUAUUGAAGACUAACUACUGCGAAAGCAUUUGCCAAGGAUGUUUUCAUUAAUCAGGAACGAAAGUUAGGGGAUCGAAGACGAUCAGAUACCGUCGUAGUCUUAACCAUAAACUAUGCCGACUAGGGAUCGGACGAUGUUAUUUUUUGACUCGUUCGGCACCUUACGAGAAAUCAAAGUGCUUGGCU
rnacentral:rRNA from 1 species